GCAAGAUCUAGGGAGUGGACCUAAAUUAAGGGUUUAACCCUAAAGUCUUCAGUCCAGUGCCUGUCACAUCUGCCUAGCUGCUGCAGGCCUCAGUUUAUCAGCUGCUCUCCGUUCACAAAACUGCAAUUAUUUAUAUGGUGCUAACAUUCUGCAGCAAUGUAGAAUUAUUAAUAAAGACAAUACUUUAAUUCUAACACACAACAUACAGGAACUGUAGAAGAGGGCCAUGCCCAAACUAAUUUACAAUCUAAAAUGGUUUAACCCUAGAAGGUAAGCUGGAGUCUGGGAUCUCCCUGCACUAUUCAAAUUAAUCAAUUACAGAAGGCAGUAGUUAUGGAGGUGAGACAGGACUCAAAAGUAGGGUCUUGUAAGUUGUGAGAUACAAAAGUCAAAGCUUAAUAUGUAAGAAAAAU